UCCAUCUCUCUGCACACAUUCAGCUCGCAGUUCCUUCAGGUGGAGCUCAUGAAACACCACUAUUUUGUGACUUUUUCACUACUCUAAUUGUUACAGAAGCUCCUUCCAUGAAAAGCGGACAGAAGAGUCCAGUAGAGGUGGUCCUCAAAGCAACGCUGAAGGAAUGUUUUGCUCCAAACGGACACAGGGGUGCGGCGGAUCAUCUGAGACAUAGAAUAAUACACCUGACUGAUUUUUAGAUGAAGAACAGCAGGUUUGUGGAGGAAGGCUCGUUUGCAGAGCUGAGCUCUCACCCUGGACUCUAAAUUCAUGCUCAGAAACUGUAGCUUCUGCUGUUUUUACCUCCUGAAGGGUUUUUAGAAUAAAAACACGUUUGUUAAGGAAGGAUCCUGGUGUGUCACACUUUAACGGCUCCAUCAAAGCUCCCCGAGUUCCAUCAAUAAAACAUAUUGAUUUUUUCUCCUCUGGAGCCAAAACUCACACAGACAUGGCAAAAAAAAAAA